GUAUCAGAAGUGCGAAUGCUGACAUAAGUAACGAUAAAGCGGGUGAAAAGCCCGCUCGCCGGAAGACCAAGGGUUCCUGUCCAACGUUAAUCGGGGCAGGGUGAGUCGACCCCUAAGGCGAGGCCGAAAGGCGUAGUCGAUGGGAAACGGGUUAAUAUUCCCGUACUUGGUGUUACUGCGAAGGGGGGACGGAGAAGGCUAUGUUGGCCGGGCGACGGUUGUCCCGGUUUAAGCGUGUAGGCUGGUUUUCCAGGCAAAUCCGGAAAAUCAAGGCUGAGGCGUGAUGACGAGGCACUACGGUGCUGAAGCAACAAAUGCCCUGCUUCCAGGAAAAGCCUCUAAGCAUCAGGUAACAUCAAAUCGUACCCCAAACCGACACAGGUGGUCAGGUAGAGAAUACCAAGGCGCUUGAGAGAACUCGGGUGAAGGAACUAGGCAAAAUGGUGCCGUAACUUCGGGAGAAGGCACGCUGACACGUAGGUGAAGUGAUUUACUCACGGAGCUGAAGUCAGUCGAAGAUACCAGCUGGCUGCAACUGUUUAUUAAAAACACAGCACUGUGCAAACACGAAAGUGGACGUAUACGGUGUGACGCCUGCCCGGUGCCGGAAGGUUAAUUGAUGGGGUCAGCGCAAGCGAAGCUCCUGAUCGAAGCCCCGGUAAACGGCGGCCGUAACUAUAACGGUCCUAAGGUAGCGAAAUUCCUUGUCGGGUAAGUUCCGACCUGCACGAAUGGCGUAAUGAUGGCCAGGCUGUCUCCACCCGAGACUCAGUGAAAUUGAACUCGCUGUGAAGAUGCAGUGUACCCGCGGCAAGACGGAAAGACCCCGUGAACCUUUACUAUAGCUUGACACUGAACAUUGAGCCUUGAUGUGUAGGAUAGGUGGGAGGCUUUGAAGUGUGGACGCCAGUCUGCAUGGAGCCGACCUUGAAAUACCACCCUUUAAUGUUUGAUGUUCUAACGUGGACCCGUUACCCGGGUUGCGGACAGUGUCUGGUGGGUAGUUUGACUGGGGCGGUCUCCUCCUAAAGAGUAACGGAGGAGCACGAAGGUUGGCUAAUCCUGGUCGGACAUCAGGAGGUUAGUGCAAUGGCAUAAGCCAGCUUGACUGCGAGCGUGACGGCGCGAGCAGGUGCGAAAGCAGGUCAUAGUGAUCCGGUGGUUCUGAAUGGAAGGGCCAUCGCUCAACGGAUAAAAGGUACUCCGGGGAUAACAGGCUGAUACCGCCCAAGAGUUCAUAUCGACGGCGGUGUUUGGCACCUCGAUGUCGGCUCAUCACAUCCUGGGGCUGAAGUAGGUCCCAAGGGUAUGGCUGUUCGCCAUUUAAAGUGGUACGCGAGCUGGGUUUAGAACGUCGUGAGACAGUUCGGUCCCUAUCUGCCGUGGGCGCUGGAGAACUGAGGGGGGCUGCUCCUAGUACGAGAGGACCGGAGUGGACGCAUCACUGGUGUUCGGGUUGUCAUGCCAAUGGCACUGCCCGGUAGCUAAAUGCGGAAGAGAUAAGUGCUGAAAGCAUCUAAGCACGAAACUUGCCCCGAG
rnacentral:rRNA from 1 species